rnacentral:rRNA from 1 species
GAUGAACGCUGGCGGCGUGCCUAAUACAUGCAAGUCGAGCGAACAGACGAGGAGCUUGCUCCUCUGACGUUAGCGGCGGACGGGUGAGUAACACGUGGAUAACCUACCUAUAAGACUGGGAUAACUUCGGGAAACCGGUGCUAAUACCGGAUAAUAUAUUGAACCGCAUGGUUCAAUAGUGAAAGACGGUUUUGCUGUCCCUUAUAGUUGGAUCCGCGCCGCAUUAGCUAGUUGGUAAGGUAACGGCUUACCAAGGCGACGAUGCGUAGCCGACCUGAGAGGGUGAUCGGCCACACUGGAACUGGGACACGGUCCAGACCCCUACGGGAGGAAGCAGUAGGGAAUCUUCCGCAAUGGGCGAAAGCCUGACGGAGCAACGCCGCGUGAGUGAUGAAGGUCUUCGGAUCGUAAAACUCUGUUAUUAGGGAAGAACAAAUGUGUAAGUAACUAUGCACGUCUUGACGGUACCUAAUCAGAAAGCCACGGCUAACUACGUG